CGCGUGAGGCGGGCGCGGCCAUGGCGGCCGCGGGCUGCGCUGCGGAGGCGCGUCCCGACGGGCGGGAGCCCCUGCUGGGGUCCGCGGGGCCCGCGGCGGGUGAGGACCAGGAGGAGGAGGAGGAGGAGAGCAGAACCAGGGAUGUUGUGGAAUCACGGGAGCAUUAUAAGAGCCGGUGGCGAUCCAUCUGGAUCAUGUACCUGACAAUGUUUCUCAGUAGUGUAGGUUUCUCAAUUGUAAUUAUGUCUGUGUGGCCGUAUCUCCAAAAGAUUGAUCCGACGGCGGAUGCGAGUUUCUUGGGCUGGAUUAUAGCUUCAUACAGCAUUGGCCAAAUGGUUGCCUCUCCCCUCUUUGGCCUCUGGUCCAACUACAGGCCCAGGAGAGAGCCUCUGGUCAUUUCCACGGCUAUUUCAGUAGCUGCUAAUUGUCUCUAUGCCUAUGUCCACGUGCCCCGUGCCCACAACAAGUACUACAUGCUGACUGCCCGCGCUCUCGUGGGGUUUGGAGCAGGAAAUGUGGCUGUAGUUCGAUCGUAUAUUGCGGGUGCCACUUCUCUGACGGAAAGAACUAGUGCCAUGGCCAACACCAGUGCCUGCCAAGCAGUUGGCUUCAUAUUAGGCCCAGUUUUUCAGACAUGUUUUACGCUUAUUGGAGAAGAAGGAGUAACGUGGAAACUCCUUUGUCUUCAGCUGAACAUGUACACAGCACCAGUGUUGUUUGGAGCUCUGUUAGGAGUUAUUAAUAUUAUUCUCAUCUUUGCCAUAUUCAGGGAGCAUCGAGUGGAUGACAUGGGACGGCAGUACAAAAGCAUCAAUUCUGAUGGAGAAGGAAGUGAUGUUCUGGAUCAGAACACAGAAGGAAGCAUUGACCACGUUGCUGUGGUAGCACUCAACGUUCUCUUCUUUGUCAUCCUGUUUGUGUUUGCUGUCUUUGAAACUAUAGCCACUCCACUGACAAUGGAUAUGUAUUCCUGGACCAGGAAACAAGCUGUUUUUUAUAAUGGGAUAAUCCUGAGUGUGAUUGGCAUUGAAUCAGUUAUUGUUUUCAUGGUGGUUAAAACACUAUCAAAAAAGACUGGUGAGCGUGCCAUACUCCAUGCAGGCUUACUGAUAGUCUUGGUUGGAUUCUUCAUCUUACUGCCUUGGGGGAAGAAACUACCAAAUAUCCAGUGGCAAGAAAUAAAGAACAACUCCAUUCCCAGAACAGCCCCCAGUGAAAUGUUAGUGCCUUUCUGGAGUUUGCCAGAGCUGCAGCUGCCAUCCAACCACACAGCAGAACCCGUGGGCUGCCCUGUCACACAGUCCUGGUGCCUGCACACUCCCAUGAUCUACCUGGCCCAGUACAUCAGCUCUGAUGUGCUCAUAGGCUUGGGCUAUCCUGUUUGUAAUGUCAUGUCCUACACUUUAUACUCAAAAGUCCUAGGACCAAAGCCUCAGGGUGUCUACAUGGGAUGGUUGACUGCCUCUGGAAGUGGAGCACGGAUCCUUGGGCCUGUUUUUGUGAGCCAAAUCUACACACACCUGGGGCCACGCUGGGCAUUCAGCUUGAUCUGUGGAGUAGUUGUAGUCUCUCUCUUACUCUUGGAGAUCGUAUACAAGAGACUAAUUGCAUUUUCUGUCAGAUAUGGGAGGAUGCAGGAAGAGAAUUGUUAAAUACAUAUUUUAAAAAACCCCAAGCAGUAAAACCAAGCAGAAGUAAUACUUAAUUACUGCUUUUGAAUGAGGAGUACCUAACCACUGACCUUGUUGGAUGUGUGCUAACAACUGUACAGCUGUACUUGCACGUUGACAGAACAUUUAACUUGGUCAUACCCCAAUACCUGGUUACCCCUGCUGCAGUUAGUUGGCUUCUGUGUCCUGCUUUUCUAGCAGCAGAGGAAGGAAUGUCAUGGGUCCGAGUGAGACCGUGGCACAUUUGAAGUGUGUACAGUUUGUAUGAUGUACAUGUGCACUGAGGGCAGCUGUGAAGGUCACAGGUUAUGUGCAUCCUUUCCAGAAACAAGUAAAAGAAAUAUCUUGAUUCUGUGAAUCAGGAUUAGUAACUCUUUUGUAACUACAAGAUUAGUUGAGCUGCAUGCACUUUGUAUGGAGACACCACUGCUUGAGCAAACCUUCUGAUGCUGGGUUUGUUGGCUUGUAAGCACUGGUUAAUACAAACCAUCUGGUUCUGGAACCUGUUACCUCUCCUCCAGGAUUCCAAAUUACAGGUGACAGAACCACAGAGGAAGAUAGGUGCUCUCCACACAGGUAGUUGAUGUGGGAUUUGGGUCUUUAAGUUGACCAAGAGCCAUUGAAAAUCAGUUUCAGCACCUGUUACUUGAACUGCAAGGAACCAAAUGUGCAAUUUUUCCUCUACUAUUUUGCUGAAUGCCUUUUUGUAGCAAGAAGGAUAACCUACAGCACUGAAAUAUGCACAGCUUCUCUUAACUACAAGAAAAAAAGUCUAAGCACAAUAGUUUACACUUUUGUGCUUGGUGGGAAUGAAUGCACUGUGCUGAGCAGUGGUGGUUAAUUAAGUGAAAGGAGAAAACUGGCUCCUGGGUAUUCACUAUUAUCUGCAGACUUCUAUUUCUUCUGAUAUUAGGGUACAAGAAAUGGGAAUUGACACUGUUGUAGUCAUUCAGGCUUCAUUUUAAAAAGUGAGACUCUAAUCUUCCUUCAUAAUGAGGCCUAAGCUCAUCUGUACGGGUACGUUUAGCUGUUUUAAUGCUACUGGGGAAAAAAAAAAAUCUCUGGAGUAACUCCAAUUUGAGAGUUGUGGCUGCUGUCUAAUGUCUCUACUAUUUGAAUUUAAUAAAUGUAAUUAUUAUUCCUAUAUACUCAAUUGUUCAAACACUAAGAGACUACUGAAUUAAAAGAUGAUUUUUCAAUACUGACUGAAGGGGAUACAGAAGUUUUAUUCUGAUGGGCUCUCCUCCUACAGAAUCACAAAAUGUUGUGAAGAAGGACUUCACUUUUUAAAGUUAAUUCAUAAUAAGUGCUACUUGUAUAUUGUUCUUGAUGUUCCUAGUGCUAAAUUCUUUAUUUGCAAGCUAUUUCCUUGAUUUGGACAUGACAAAGCAACCAAAGGUCUGUCUUUUAAACCACAGCUGAACAAGGAGAACUGGCUUGAAUCAGUUCAGCUCAGCUGUGCUUGCACACAGCCAGCACCAACUCCUCUGAAACUCUUCAUCCUCCACCUCCUCCACAUCAUUUUGGAUCCCACUCCAUUUAAGAUCUUUUCCUGCCUGAUAAGGAAGUCUUAGAUUGUUUAAGUACAGAUAUAAGCACCAUCAGGAGUGUUAGCACACUUGAAGCCAAAUGCUUAGGAGAAAAGCUACUGUUAAUGCUACUUCAGUUGCUGUAAGUAUUACUCAAUGUGUAAAACAAGGUAAAACCACCUAAAGUUAUUAACUCUUCUCCUUUAACGACUAAUUGACCAUGAAACAAAUAAAUAGAUCCAGACAAUUACCACUGCAUUUAUUUUUUUUUGUAUAACAUGCUUGUGCAGGGAAGUUUUAUGCUGCUGCUACAAAAAAAUAAAAACAGACUUAUAAAACAUAUACAUAUUUACAUAUAUUACUUGUAAGACAUAAAAAUAUAAGUUAUUUACAAAUACUUGAACAGCACAGAUGCGUUUUCCUUGAUUGUUGGCACUGAGUAAGCAGUGGAGUAAGAAAAAAAAAUACAACAGAUUCAGAUUAUUUCCAAAGACAACACAGUCAAGAAUUAAGUUUCUCAAAGUUUGGCUUGAAUGAGUUUAUCCAUCACUUUAAUGAAAAGUAUGUUUUGUAUGAGACUUCACACACAAUUUGCUACAUAUAAAGAGAGUAACCCUCCCCUUCCUAGCUUUUUACCAGAUCUUGGAAGAAUCUCUGCAUAAGCUAAGUAAGAUCAGUCACUUUACUGUGAAGUCAGUGAGUGAGUUUAUUAAGCUCUUGUGCCAUGACACCCGGUUUCCUUUAGUCAUUGAGGACCAGCUGGAUUGGUAAACAUGACAAGAAUAGAAGACAGACAGUGCAGCUUCUCUUUGAUGUAUUCUGGCAACUUAUCAUCUUCUCCAUACCUAGAGUGGCAAAGCAGUAUAGAAAAACUGAGAUGCUUAAAUAAUUUGUUUUAUUUCAUUACAAUAUAGUUAUUUCAAAAUACUACUUUCCUCAACCUCCCUGUUUUUAAUACUACACAUGAAUAGUUGCAGUACUCUGGAGACCAAGUAGAUGCAUUCCCAGCUUGUUUUAGUAAUUUGUUAUCCAGAUGACAAAUGAAUAUUUAUUUGUAUCAGUUGGCUAUGUGUGCUUCUCUUUAUUAAAUAAGCUUACAUAAGCAAACCAACUGUGAAGUGAUGGCAAUGCUAAGGUUUAAAAUUUACAAACCAAAGUCAGUAGCAGCUAUUAAGUUACCUGAUGUACAAGAGCCUAGUACUGAGUUACCUGGAUGUUUUUAUGGCAGGAACAGGCUCACCUGGUUGUCUGGCCAUCUGGAGAAGUGUAAGUGAUGGAAGAGACACCUGCUUGGGCUACCAGCUGGGAUCCAUCAUUGAACUGAACCCAUACCGCUCCACUGGUCAGCUGAUGAGAGAAGUUACAUUGUGGUUUGAGCAUAUGAAAUACACAAUUACAAACUUAGAACUCUUCUAAGAAUGGAAGCUGAAAGCUUUUCAAAAUUGCUGAAGGAACAUUACCCUCCCUCCUUACUAGUGUAAUGAAAAAACAUGGAAAGCAACACAGGAAGCACAUUUGUGAAAGGGAAGCUGAAUUUUCAGGAAGUUGCUUGGAAAAGGUCUGUGUAAAACACCUUACCUCAUUUGCAUGAUCCAUGUAAGCCUGGAUUUCCUUCUUCAACCCUGCUUCGCUUUCUCCUUUCACAGUGAAGGAUUUCCCUGACUUUUCAAUCACACGAGUUAUACCAGCUGUCUUAUGGAUCUUUGCUCCUGCAAGAAAAUGUGAACACUUUCAGUGUGAGUUGUAUAAAAUAACAGUUAAACCAUGGAAAGAAGAGCUCAUGAAUAAUGUAUAAUUCAAAUAACACUUUAAUAACAUGUACUUCCUGAGGAAGGUAUCAGUAAGGAAUUAAAGAAUCAACUAAUCUACAAGUGAUAACACAAAGGCAGGGUAUCCAAAAAACUGCUUUUAGUGCACUAUUUUCUGCAAACUGGAGUGGUGGUUGUUUAGUGUUAGGUAAUAUUUUAGUACAGCCCUAAAAUCAUUAUUUAGCUAUUUGCAUAACUGCAAAAAUGAAUACAUACCAUCAUAAAAACAAAUUUCAACAUCUGCAGGGGGUGAAUUUUCCAUCAACAUGCACUUGGCAUAUCUUGUAUAAAAUGUCACUUUAGGGGUUUUUGUUCUCACCAACUGCACAAACUUAGCUGCAUACUGGUAUUUUUUCCAGUACUUUUCUAAAAAAAGAAAAUUUAAAAAAAUUAGAAUUUAGCAGAUUAAACACUGUACACCAGCUUGAAGAGAAGUAAUUUAAAUUAUGUAUUUGAUAGCUGAAAGUUGUGAGUAGUAUUUAAGUAUGUGACAGACAUGUUUAGAGAAAGUGACUUAUUUCCACCAACAGCUCCCAGUAUGAAUGAGGAAAAGACUACAAGAGUUUUAAUUUUAGUACACUACAUUGCAAAGGGGAGACUCCUUAAAGCUUCCAUAUAAAAGGAAUCAAAACCUGUGGGUUACACUUCCUUCUGAAGUUUCAAAACAUUUUCCAGUUAAACUGUAGUUUGAAUCUAAUUCUGAAAGGAGUUUUACUUCAGAGUUAUCUGAGAAGUAAUAGGUAAAAGCUAUAAAGUUGCAAGAUUCACUUAAAAUAUCACAUUAAUCAUCAUAAUUUUAAAGUAAAUUUCAGGUUACCUGGCAAGUUGUCAAAAUUAUAUGUGCAGAUGCCUUCAGGAGGAGGAGGAGGUCUGUCAUCAAGAAGGAAACCUCUUCCUUCAUUUGGAUGAUAAACUGCAAUCUACAAAAAGGGAAUAAAAAUUGUGUGUAGUUGCAACUUACUACAGCACUCUGCACUUUUAACAGGUAUGGAAAUAACUCACAUUUUAAUUAAUUACUAUGCUUUACCAUGAAAGCUCUAUUCCUCUGAGUAAUUAUUUAACAGCCACUCUUUUUCACCAAUACUUCACCUAUUCAAAAAGUCAAGUCCAGUUUUUUCUCUGAAAUAAUUGCUUGCUCCUUGUAUUUAUAUGGCUUUAUUAUGGAGGGGCAGAGUUUACAGCUGUGCAUAUAUAAACAGUGAAUUUCAAAAUAAAUAAUCACUUAAGAAGAAAAAAACAGCUCUGAAUGAACUCCAAGCACUUCAUAAAACAGUGAAGAAAUCAAAAAUGUACUCACCACAUUUCCAUCACAAGAUAUUCUGAGAACUUCUUUCACAAGCUCCUGUGAGCGGUGUUCUUUCAGAAACUCCAUACACACUUCCCCAGUAUCUAGAAUGCUCACCUAAAAUAUAUUAAACAUGAAUCUGCUUUCUGCAAAAGGUAAGAUAUCACUUUUUUCCCCCCACAAAUGCUUUAAUAAAUGCUUUUCUUUUUCCUUAAAUGCACUUCAAACAGAUAAAUGCUUCUACAGUAACUUUUGUUAUUAGUGCUAUUUUUUUUUAAAGCAGAACACUUCAAGAUGACUGAAGUGUAUCAGCCUGGUAACUAAUGGUGAGGCUUAAGUGACAAAACACAGACAGGUCUGCUCUAUUUUGCUCUAAGUAUUCUCUAUACCAAAGCUAAGAUGCAUCUUAUUACUAUGAUUUUAAACUAAAUUAUUCUAGAUUAAGUUUCCUAAAAAUAUAUAUUUCUAUUUUACCAAGUGAUUUUUAAGACACCUAUUAAGCACAUCAGUUGUUCCCAUUUUCAGAACUGUUACUUACCACUGCAUUUUUGGUUUUUUGCCUGAUGGGUUUCAGCCUGUGAGCAGUGAGAGGUGACACAACACUUCGCAGUGUAGGUUUCUGGUGUGCUGAUGGUUCUUGGCCACAAGUUUGGUUUUGUUCUGGAGCUGACCAAAGGCCACAUGUCAUUCUGGAGUUCAGCCAGAGGCCAGGCUGAAUUGUCUCAUUUUUGCAGACAACUCCAGGGAUGCAUUGCUGUGGGUUUCUCUGGUUUAAAGAAUGUGGACAGUCACCAGAAGCACCGUGAUUCCUUAUGUCUUUUAAGGUGUUCCAUGCAUUCCUUGGUGCAUCCUGCUGCGCCUCCAGAUGGUACCGAAAACCUCCACGGGCAUUACUCUUGCCAGUCAGGU